rnacentral:misc_RNA from 1 species
GAUGAAGAACGUAGCGAAAUGCGAUAAGUAAUGUGAAUUGCAGAAUUCAGUGAAUCAUCGAAUCUUUGAACGCACAUUGCGCCCGCUAGUAUUCUGGCGGGCAUGCCUGUUCGAGCGUCAUUUCAACCAUCAAGCCCUAGGCUUGCGUUGGAGCCCUGCGGCUGCCGCAGGCUCCCGAAUCCAGUGGCGGGCUCGUCGUCGUACCGAGUGCAGUAAACAUCCUCGCUCAGGGAACGUGACGGGUUCUUGCCGUGAAACCCCCCACAUAUCAAGGUUGACCUCGGAUCAGGUAGGAAUACCCGCUGAACUUAAGCAUAUCAAUAAGCGGAGGA